GGGGGCGGAGCCUGAGGCGGUACGCUACCUGUCCCGCACCAAAGCGGCCACGGCCUGAAACUCGGGGGAAUCGGGGGGGACGGCGUCGAUGCUGCACCUCAUGGCGCGGUACUUCCCCAGGGAGGAGGGGGCGGAGCUCCCCAUGGUCAUCUCGCUCACGUUCAGAACAUCUCGGAUCAACUGGACGGAGGGAAGCGGCGUGUUGGCGUGUAGAGCACAGGUGAGGUUAUGUCUGUCUUGCGCAGGAGCCAACGAUGCAUCGCUUACAUCGACUGGAUUGUGCAUCGAUCACAAAUAAUAAUCAGAGGGUUUAAUUCCCAAACGUUAAAAUGUGAUCAACGCAGACUUAAAAUGUCACGUUCUCUCACAAUAAACAAUUAUUUACCCUUAUUGCUAUGGGAUUGUGUGGUUCUCUACGUGUCUUAGCGUGUGUGUCUAAGCGUGUGCGUUACCUGGCACAGGUCCAGUCUCUGGGAGAUGAGCCUGGCAGUGGGAGGAGUCUGGGAGGGCGCCACGUGCAACAGAACGGCGUGAACCUCAUGAAGGAGCGACGCAACCUCAGAACCAUCCGCCCCCCUCAGCUUGCUGUGAGCCUGGAGCAACAAGCCCUCGGCCCUGCUGACCUACGCGCACACACAGACACGCACACACACACACACACACACGGGGGCGUUAUUGUACGGAUGUUGCCCUCGGGGGGGGGGUUGAAGGCGAGGAGGCAGAAGGCAGAAGAAGAAAGCGUACGUCGUUGAGGCUCAGCUUGUGGAUGGGUACUCGGAGGAUGUUGCCGAGGCGACCCAGGGCCUCGGUCCACAGCAGCUCUACGAACACGCCCACUUCCUGCGAUAAGCUUCCCGUGUUCAGCCUCUCCUCCAGCAGCAGCUGCAAAUUGGCUCAGCCCAGGUGGGGGGCUUGUGGGGGAGUGCUGGUCCUGGGCUGCAGCCCGGCGGCCUGCAGGCUCUCUCGCUGGGCCUCGUACACCUCCACAGCGUCCUCGGACGCCGACAGGAAGACCAGCGCG
ensembl:lncRNA